GCGGCAGCACAGAGGAACUUGUUCCUUGGGUGGCGAGCGGCGGACGGGUGAGUAAUGCCUGGGAAAUUGCCCGGUAGAGGGGGAUAACCAUUGGAAACGAUGGCUAAUACCGCAUAACCUCGCAAGAGCAAAGCAGGGGACCUUCGGGCCUUGCGCUACCGGAUAUGCCCAGGUGGAUUAGCUAGUUGGUGAGGUAAGGGCUCACCAAGGCGACGAUCCCUAGCUGGUCUGAGAGGAUGAUCAGCCACACUGGAACUGAGACACGGUCCAGACUCCUACGGGAGGCAGCAGUGGGGAAUAUUGCACAAUGGGCGCAAGCCUGAUGCAGCCAUGCCACGUGUAUGAAGAAGGCCUUCGGGUUGUAAAGUACUUUCAGUAGGGAGGAAGGUGGUUAAGUUAAUACCUUAAUCAUUUGACGUUACCUACAGAAGAAGGACCGGCUAACUCCGUGCCAGCAGCCGCGGUAAUACGGAGGGUCCGAGCGUUAAUCGGAAUUACUGGGCGUAAAGCGUGCGCAGGCGGUUUGUUAAGCGAGAUGUGAAAGCCCUGGGCUCAACCUAGGAAUAGCAUUUCGAACUGGCGAACUAGAGUCUUGUAGAGGGGGGUAGAAUUCCAGGUGUAGCGGUGAAUGCGUAG
rnacentral:rRNA from 1 species